GUUUCUCUUCUGCUCCCAGAAGCUUUAAGUUUCAGUUUCCAUUCAUCUCUAAUCAAAGUAGAUUUGGGGACUGUGGCUUUGAACAUCCUUCUGUAAAAGUUAGUACUGUUAAGAUUGGGAAAACGGAGACUUUGGGAUUCUUGAGGGAGUGACAGCCACAGACUUCCCAGGCCACUUUGAAAGCAGCCACCUAAAUGGACACACAGCUGUCUGCAGUUGUCUGACAGUGACCACCAUAUUCAAGAAUUAGAUAUCCCCUCCCCGAAUCCAUCCAUGAGGCAACCGAAAAGCAAACUGGAAAAGAAAGAAAACUGUUAGUUUUAAUUUAAGAAAGGAAGAGCCAACGCCCCUUCUAAAUAUCCACUCGCCUUGGUAGAUUUAUGCUUCUCCUCUAAUGAAGAAAAAUAAAGAAAAUCAAAGUAUCCCCUUCAAUACAUUCCUUACUUUUAUAUCCACUCAAUUUUAAACAUUAAAGCUUCAGCCAUAAAAAUGAUGUUGACCUUUUGGAAGGAAUGCAUUCAUUGUGUAAGUACAAAUAAGACCAUUCUGCUUGGCCUGUGAGCUCCCAGUGAAUUCUCUGGUCUCUGCUUCCUGACUUGCUGUAAGAGUGCUGAGAACUUACGUCCCACUUCGUUUGGGUUGUACAAGGGUUCUGAGGAACUAAACAUGGGUCAUGUUAAUGCCACCAGGCAAGAAUACGAGUUUGAGCCAAAUUUAAAGCAAGCUUGAUUUUGAUUAGGGUGUACCUGAGAGCUGACCAGUUGCCGCCUCCUAGGUAUUGUUAAAGAGAGCAAACCUGAGUCUGUUUCUUGGGGCCCUUUUAAGAAGUAAAACCAGGGGUAGUGGCUAAGCAGGUUUACAGAAGACAAUGGAGCAGUAAGUGCAGAAAAGUCUCAAGAAAAAAAAAAAAAAAACCCAACACCCAUUAUCCUGUGGCCACCAUGUGAUUAGAAAGCCGGAGGAUGCUGGAUUCUUACAGUAAAUACCCCUCUCUGUAAGUUUAUCUGGCAUUGUCUGCCACACUGCCCAUGAGUGAAACUGUGUGCAGAGAUCUCUGAGAGCUUGUGGAAAAACUCCAAAUAAGCAGGAGGAAUAUCUGUUCUUCUAUAACAUGGGUCAUUCUUGAAAAGUGCUUCCCUGCUUCUCCUGGGUGUAAAUAGGAAUGUAAAUAGUAAAUAUUCAAAGUCGUUCCCAAGAAUGAGUUGCCCUCCUGACUGUUUACAGCCUGAACGCAUGUGACCUUGCCCUUGUGGCUCUAUACAGCUUGAACUAAAGUGAACCUUGCUGAUGUGACUUUGCCUAAUAUUCAGAAAACCCACAGAGAAAAGUUUUCUGGUUUCCUGAAUAAAGAUGAGUAUUGCGUAAGAGUCUCUGCCUCAUGUUUCGACUCCAAGCUCCAAGGUCCAUACCUCCAAUUAGAGUAGUAACAAUGAGGACAGAAAAAAAAUUCAACAAAAUUAUUCUUAAUGAUAUUCUAGUAUACUCAUAGAUCAAUUCCUAGCUGAAGAGCCAUCUUCCAGCAGCUGAUGGAAACAGAUACAUGGGGCCACAGUCAAACAUUAAGGAGAAAGAGAGCUCAAAUUGGAGGCUGUCUCUUGAAGCUCCAGGAGCCUCAUGAAGAGAGGGAGAAAAAAAAUUGUAGGAGCCAGAGGGUCAAGGACACCAGAAGAAAAUGGUCCACAGAAUCAACUAAGCAGGGUUCACGGGGGCUCACAGAGACUGAAUCGAGCUGCCUGGGUCUUCACUAGGUCCUCUGUAUAAUGUUAUAGCUUGGUGAUCUUGUGGGGAUCCUAAGAGUGGGAGGGGGUGUGUGUGACUCUUUUGCCUGAUCUUAGGAUGUUUUUCCUCCCAUUGGCUUGCACUAACCAGCCCUGAUAUGAGGGUUUGUGCCUAGUGUUAUUGUACUUUGUUAUGCCACAUUUGGUUGAUAUUUCUGGGAGGCCUGUUCUUUUCUGAAGGGAAAUGAAGGAGUGGAUCUAGGGGAGAGGGAAGGUGGAGAGGGAAAGGGGAGGAGUGCAGUGAGAGAAAACUACAGUUGGGAUGUAUUUAUGAGAGAAGGAUAAAUUUUAAAAAGUAAAGCAUAAAAAAAGACUUAUAGAAAGAACUCAUUGCAUAAAUUAUCCAAUGAUAAAAUUAUAGAAACCUCACUAAAUUAUUCCAAUUGUAAAUGAAGGGGAGAAAUGCAUUUGGCUAACAAACCUAUUGGUCACAUUCCCUAGAUUCUGGAAUUUCUUACCUGACACCAAAACCAGCUCAAGUACGAAUUUAGAAAAUAAGAUCUUAAUUAAUUCAACUUCAUUAUAGAAAUCUUCUUUUCAGUUUUCCAGCCAACUGGGUGUUUGCAAAUAAAUUAUUUUAAAAGUACAAUAGGCCAACAAGGUACCUCAGUAGGUUAAGUGUUUGCUACCAAGCCCGAUACCUAAUUUGACCCUCCGAGCACACGUGGUGGGGGAAAACUGACUCCUACAACAUAUGCUCCGACCUCCACAUGCUAUGGCAUGUGUGCCUGCACAAAUGUUCACACACAUAUGCGCACACACACGUGCACACACACACACACACACACACUAAAUAAACAUUUCAAAAGAUUUAAGUGUACUAGAUUUUUUUAAACAAUAAUGACUCAUAUUUAGGUCUAGGAAUAUAGCAGAAUCAUUAGGGGAAAGAAAGAAAGAAAAUAAUGUUCCAACACAAAAUCCACAGCCUUCCCAUGUUACCUUUCAUCCCUUAAGAGCCGGUCUUUGCCUGCAGCCCCAAUAGCCUGAUAGUCACAGUGCUGUCUGUCUUUGUCACAUGUAUGUCCGUCAUCUGCUCUGUGAGACAUGGUCCUUCAUCAGACAAAAACCCUCCCCCUUUUGCUCACAAUUACUAAUCCCUUCUCCUCUUCACUCAGACAGAGGUCCAGCCCUUCUUAUGGGAAGAGCUGCUGCUCAGGCUCUGGAGAAGGUAUUUAGGAGAAUUUGUGAAUAGUGUAAAGGACAAGGAAGUGAUUCCAGUAUUGUUCUGGGCUAAAUGCCUUUAUCGUUAGCUAAUCUGCUUAAAUGCUAACCUGAAGAAAACGAUGCUGGGAGUGGGCAGUCUUUAAAGGGUGAUUGGUGCAUGUGUAAUUACUUCCUCUGACUCAGGGAAGUAUCAUAGUUCAGCAGGCUCAGAAAUCUCACCGAACAGAAAAGACUCCCAACCCUAGCGCUGGCCUAUGUCCUAUGUAUGCCCUAAGCAACUGCUGGGGAGAAGAAGGAGGAAUGGGGACAGCAGGGAGUCGCACAGAGCACUCCAGGGUACAGCACGCGCUCACCCAGGCUGAAGUGGGCUUUUAGUAAUGUAGAUGGAUGUGUGGUGGGGACCUUCCAGAGAAGAGAGAGCAUCACUUGGACACAGGUUCAAGCCAAUAGAAAGUCUUAUUAGUUACUCAGUGACAAUACUGCGUGUUUGGGGUCCCAGUGCCAUCCCAAGACUUUCUUCAGGUGAGCUUUUAAGCACAGAACCUGUAGAGGGCACAGAAGUCCUUAUGCCCACAGACAAGCACUUUGGGAAACCAGGGAUGUUAGACACCUUUUCUCUUCAAAAGACAUGUGUAGGCUUAGAUUCCUCAAAACCUACUUUAAUAAGGUUCUUAAAUGUUUCAGCCUCCCUUCUAGCCCAUCAACCAAACGUAGGAGAGCUAGAUGGUCAGUGGGACAAGGAGGAUGUAGACCUCUUUAGAAGUAGUUCUUUGGGGCAAUUCCAAACGCAAAUCAGUAAUGGCAGUCAAGUCCAAACACCAAACACACAACUCAAUCCCUGAGGCUCUGCCAAAUUGGUACUAAUCUGCCAAUGUGGCAAGAAGUAGUGAGAAUACUAUGAGAAGCUCUCUGACACGUUUCUCUCAAUGGAGUCACAACGCAGAUCAGUGAAGCCCAGCAAAGCGUUGCAAGACUUACCAAUGCAAGAGUGUUCCCUCAUUGUCUGUGGCAUUAUAUUUAAAUUCUUUCUAAACACCACAAGACCCUCUCAAGUGUCUGUGUCAGCAAAACAUCCCAUUUCCUCUCACAAGACAGCUUUCAGAAAAACACCACAUGUCUGUUCUCAACAAAAUAGCCUCUCGUAAGACAGUUUCCAGAAAACCACCACAUGACACAACUGAAUCUCCCAAGAAACUAGAAAUAUCCACUUCAGAGAUAUAUUUUCUCUUUUCACCUACAGUGCUGGAAGUAGAUGUGGUCAAUAGCCUAAUGACCUCUGCACUGUCUGCAUGGCUAGGGGUUCCCCAGAUGUACAAACAGGACCAGAAGUGGUUAAUAGCAAGGGUAACCACAGACCAUACCAGAUCCCCCAGGCCUAUAAGGCAACACACAUUUAUGUAUGUAUGUAUGUAUGUAUGUAUGUAUGUAUGUAUGUAUACAUACACACACAUAUAUACAUAUAUUCACAUAUACAUAAAUCCAUUUUCAUGGAAGAAGUGAUACAUUCUCUAAAAAAGAGUUUUAAUGUAGUUAUGUCUUAAUUGUAAUUGUCCAUACAGGAUUGUGUACGCCAGAAACAGUUUUCCAACUUGCUUUGUAUUUAAACAUGCCUAAAAUAGACCAGCUAGUGCCAAACUCCAGAGUUUGAACCCACACUGGCUACUGAAUCAUGUUAAACUGGACUUCCUUCUUGAUUCAUACAGAUCAUUACUCUGCUGGGCAUGUGGUUUACAGGCACAUACAUACAAACAUACAUACAUACAUACAUACAUACAUACAUACAUACAUACAUACAAACAUCAACAACAAAAAAUACCCUGGGUUGGCACACCUCAGUUAGCAAGAAUAGUUAGCCAGAAACAGAACUACCGAAGCCAAAAAACAAAGUUAGUACAUUUAGGGAGUUUCCCAGAACAAUAGUCUUUGAUGGAUUAGGUCCUUGUUCUUGUUUUUGGCUGGUGGUUCUGCCUACAUGCUGGGUUCCAUGGCCUGAGUAGUCCUUCCAUCAUGCCAUCUGUUGUGUCUAGUUAUGAGGAAGGGGUGCUGUUACAGCCGUUUGAGUUACUCACUUUCCUUGUCAGUGACCCCCUUACCCACAAUCCUGUAAGUAAUCCAAUAAUCUUAUUAUUCCACCAACCUAGCCACUAGAAUUGUUUAUUUGGACUCUUGCCAGUGCCUCAUCUGGGGAACAGAGGCAUUUAUUUAGUCACCUCUCCCCAAAGAGUCACACGGCAGCUGGAGCCCAUGUGAAUGAGAUCAGUGCCUUUAAGAAGAAAGAACCUUCAAGAAGGGAGUCCUUCGGUGCUUCCACUAUGAAAGGCACAGAAGAUAGCCAUUUACGAACUGGACGGUGGACCUUCCCCAAACCUCAAGUCUGUCAGUGCCCUGCAGCAGAACUCCACAUCCUCCAAAACUAUGAGAAGUAAAUUUGUGCUGUUUAUGA